ACACGUGUCUUUGACAACUUCUUCACGAAGCUUUUACGUUUGUCUCUCUGCAAUCUUCGAUGGAACACAAAAAGCUUUCCUCUCUCUUCUCUACCUCCACCCUACUCCGCGGCCGGCUCUGGUUUCCCUGCCAAAAACAAUGUUCACUUUUGCUUCUGUGGAGCUCCUCUCCUCUCCUACUCUGGUUGUGGGUAGACUUUAAUCGAAAGAGAGUGAAGUAUCGUCAUGGGUAUUGUUUGUUUCUGUUUGCAUGUUGAGGAUGUUGGGGAAGUACAUGAAUCUACGCAGCUCAGUCAGUCUACGGGACCAGUAUGUGUCUCAGAUGCUUUUGUUUAAAUUUUCUAAUCCUGGUAAGCCUCACAGUUUUGAAGGCCUUUUUGUUUGGUUAUUUGUGGUUUUGAUCUGAAAAUUAACUUAAUUGAAAUUCUAUAUUGUCAUGGCUGCUAUUUGUUGAUGUUUGCAUGUUGAGGAUCUUGAGAAGUACAUGAGUCCAAGUAGUUCAGCCUGCAGACUGGAGCUGGAAAAGAGGAAGAAGAUCGUCUGCGGAGGGUGGCACAGGAGGAGGUUCAAAUUGCCAGUAGAUUAUGGAUCAGAAGGAGAUUGAUGGGAAUAGUUUGGAGAAGGUCAUCCCUUCUACUGUUGUUUUUGGGUGUUUCUCGGGGAAUCUUAGCCUUGCUCUGGUGACUAUCCUUUUUUCUCCUCAGGAAUUUGUAGACGUGGACGGUUUUUGGCUGAUUUAAAUUGGGUGACGCUAUUGUUUCCUGUGUUAUUUACCAUGAUAUUUGUGGAUUCUAUGGGAUGUUUCUAUAGCAAGAUCUUUUAUUUGCCUUUUGUUUCUUGAACUGAUGAUGCAAAAGUCAUUUCCUGAUCUUUAUUAAUGAAGGUUUUGGGAAUAUAUUUGUGUAAGUGGUGAACUCAUUUAAACGAAACAAAUGUAUCCUAUUUUCUGGCCAUUUCUGAAUCGGUUGUUUAUUCUUCA